rnacentral:rRNA from 1 species
AGAGUUUGAUCCUGGCUCAGAUUGAACGCUGGCGGCAUGCCUUACACAUGCAAGUCGAACGGCAGCACGGGAGCAAUCCUGGUGGCGAGUGGCGAACGGGUGAGUAAUAUAUCGGAACGUGCCCAGUCGUGGGGGAUAACGUAGCGAAAGCUACGCUAAUACCGCAUACGAUCUAUGGAUGAAAGCGGGGGAUCGCAAGACCUCGCGCGAUUGGAGCGGCCGAUAUCAGAUUAGCUAGUUGGUGGGGUAAAAGCCCACCAAGGCGACGAUCUGUAGCUGGUCUGAGAGGACGACCAGCCACACUGGAACUGAGACACGGUCCAGACUCCUACGGGAGGCAGCAGUGGGGAAUUUUGGACAAUGGGCGCAAGCCUGAUCCAGCAAUGCCGCGUGCAGGACGAAGGCCUUCGGGUUGUUAACUGCUUUUGUACGGAACGAAAAAGUCUGCCCUAAU